CCUACGGGGGACAGCAGUGAGGAAUAUUGGUCAAUGGGCGCGAGCCUGAACCAGCCAAGUCGCGUGAGGGAAGACGGUCCUAUGGGUUGUAAACUUCUUUUGUCGGGGAGUAAACUACGCCACGUGUGGCGUUUCGAGAGUACCCCAUGAAUAAGCAUCGGCUAACUCCGUGCCAGCAGCCGCGGUAAUACGGAGGAUGCGAGCGUUAUCCGGAUUUAUUGGGUUUAAAGGGAGCGCGGGCGGAGGAUAAAGUCGGUGGUGAAAUUGUGGGGCUCAACCGGGUCGAGCCGGGGCAAAGGGUGGUCGUGAGUGGGGGAGAGGUAGGCGGAAUGCGUGGGGGAGCGGGGAAAGGCGUAGAGAGGACGAAGA
rnacentral:rRNA from 1 species